rnacentral:rRNA from 1 species
GGCUAACGCUGGCGGCGUGUCUUAGCCAUGCAAGUCGAGCGGGCCUGUGGGUUUACCUACAGGUCAGCGGCGGACGGCGGAGUAACACGUAGCUAACCUACCCCCUGGACGGGGAUAACCACUCGAAAGGGUGGCUAAUACCCGAUGGAGUCCCUAUCUGAGAUGGUAGGGAUGAAAGGUGGGCCUCUGCGGAAGCAAGCUCAUGCCGGGGGAGGGGGCUGCGGCCUAUCAGGUAGUUGGUGGGGUAAUGGCCCACCAAGCCUAUGACGGGUAGCCGGCCUGAGAGGGUGACCGGCCCGAGGGGCACUGAGACACGGGCCCCACUCCUACGGGAGGCAGCAGGCUAGAAAAUUGGGCAAUGGGGGAAACCCUGACCCAGUGACGCCGCGUGCAGGAAGAAGCCCUUCGGGGUGUAAACUGCUGUCGUGCGGGGCGAAGGGUCCAUAGGCGAAUAGCUUAUGGGCUUGACGGUACCGCAGGAGGAAGCCCAGGCUAACCUCGUGCCAGCAGCCGCGGUAAUACGGGGUGGGCGAGCGUUGCCCGGAAUUACUGGGUUUAAAGGGGGUGUAGGCGGUCCGGAGAGUCAGGUGUGUAAUCCAACCGCUCAACGGUUGGGCUGCACCUGAUACUUCCGGGCUAGAGGGCGGUAGAGGAGAGCGGAACUCCCGGUGUAGCGGUGAAAUGCGUAGAUAUCGGGAGGAACGCCGGUGGCGAAGGCGGCUCUCUGGGCCGUUCCUGACGCUGAGGCCCGAAAGCUGGGGGAGCGAAAG